rnacentral:rRNA from 1 species
GAUGGACGCUGGCGGCGUGCUUAACACAUGCAAGUCGAACGGAAAGGCCAGUGCUUGCACUGGUACUCGAGUGGCGAACGGGUGAGUAACACGUGGGUGAUCUGCCCUGCACUUCGGGAUAAGCCUGGGAAACUGGGUCUAAUACCGGAUAGGACAAUGGUUUGGAUGCCGUUGUGGAAAGUUUUUUCGGUGUGGGAUGAGCUCGCGGCCUAUCAGCUUGUUGGUGGGGUAAUGGCCUACCAAGGCGUCGACGGGUAGCCGGCCUGAGAGGGUGUACGGCCACAUUGGGACUGAGAUACGGCCCAGACUCCUACGGGAGGCAGCAGUGGGGAAUAUUGCACAAUGGGCGCAAACCUGAUGCAGCGACGCCGCGUGGGGGAUGACGGCCUUCGGGUUGUAAACUCCUGUCGCUAGGGACGAAGCGUAUUUGUGACGGUACCUGGAGAAGAAGCACCGGCUAACUACGUG